AACAGACCCUAAAGCUGCCCACAGGAAAAGGAAGCCUUCCCCUGCCCACAGCUGGUGCCAUGGAGCCAACAAUGAGGGCCGCCACCACCACAUCGAUGAAAACAACAAUACAGCCCAGGAAGAGCAAGAAACACAAAUAGGUUUUGCUUGUCUCCAGAGUUAAUGACAGAUGCUGCGAUCAGAGCUCAGUAAAGGCCAUUACAUCUCUAGCAGAACCACUUGUUCCUUUUUAGGUCAUUAAAGAGAGCUUGUG